rnacentral:tRNA from 1 species
UCUCUGGUGGUUUAGUGACUGGGACUCUGCACUCCCAAUUCAGGGUGCCUGGUUCAAUCCCUGGUCAGGGAA